rnacentral:misc_RNA from 1 species
UCAGCUCAUUCUUCUCAAUUGUUACAUAGCGAGAUUCAGAUAAUAGAGAUUCAUUCUCCUUGUUGAGGCCGUCAAUCUGUCCAAUCAAGUCCUUCAACAAUCUAGCAGCUUCAGACAAUAUGGAGGCCUUCCCAUUAUUUGGCUGAGUCAGUUCAAGAGCACUGGCUAGCUCAAGGAAGAGCUCAUUCAAUUGCUCACGCUUCAGUUUUUCCCUCUCAGCCUUGUGAAUUCUUUUGGGAACUUUCCCUUUAUUCUUACCAUGGCAACACCUUUUCUCAGUAGUCUCUGCUGCUACAUUCACCUCAUCAGCCGCGGAAGGAGGACACUCAGAACCCAUGCUUAUCCCAAUGAAUUGAAUCUAUCAAAUUAGACACCUUGAAAGGCAAAGUAGGCCAAAGAACUUAAAAGAGAGAAUAAUUAGAUUUAAAGAAGGAGAAAUCUGGGAGAUUUAUGAGGCAAAAUCUAAAGGAUUUUG